CCACGGCACUGGGAGUUCCACGGGGUCCCCUUCCAGGUCAGGGCGACCUCCACCCACCCCCGUCCUCCGAUGAGCGCCUGCCCCCUCGCAGCGGGCCAGCCCGGGCUCCCGCCGCAUCUACCUGACACCCGGAGCCACGUCCAGAGGAGCUGCUGAUGGCACCCCGGUGGCCGGGGCCCACGGCUGAGCCAGUGACCCUCGCCGGUCCCGGUCAUUCCUCCGACAGGUGUUCGCCGAGGGCCUGCUCCCUGCCCGGCGCUGUGGCAGGAGCCCGCCUUCCUGACAACCGACGCAUUAGAGUGAGAUGAUGGCCCAGGCCAGCCGCUCCUGGGAGUCUUCGUUCCACGUCCUGCGAACCAGUGGAGGGCACAUGGCUCACUGGGAAGGACGGAGGCAGACAAGUACCCAAAACCAGGGCACCACCCCACCCAGAGCAGUCCCCGAGGACGCCCUGCGACCCACUGCGUGCUGGGCACCUCCCAGUCCUCGCUGGCUCCGCACCCACACCCCCGAGCAGCCGUCAUCCCCGACUCACCAUACGUGGUGGAGCUCAGGAGAGGUGGAGGCCCUCACCUAGGCCA